UACGUAGGGUGCGAGCGUUGAUCGGAUGUACGGGGCGUAAAGCGUGCGCAGGCGGCCCGUUAAGACAGGUGUGAAAUCCCUGGGCUCAACCUAGGAAUUGCGCUUGUGACUGGCGGGCUCGAGUACGGUAGAGGGGGGUGGAAUUCCUGGUGUAGCAGUGAAAUGCGUAGAGAUCAGGAGGAACACCGAUGGCGAAGGCAGCCCCCUGGGCCUGUACUGACGCUCAUGCACGAAAGCGUGGGGAGCAAACAGG
rnacentral:rRNA from 1 species